CCAACUCAAUAUUAUCUUUCAGAAUCUACAAAAACAAGCAAAUGGGAUUCCAGUCCUGAACAAGCCAGAGAAGUCCAAGUUCAAGCCCUUAUUUCACUGACUUUGUUGCAACACUGCAGUAUUGGGACCAGUUUUAUAUCACAAUUGUGCAAAUCUCAAGAAAUUCUUAACGUUACAGUUUGAGGAAGAAGAAGUGAAAUGAUAGGAGACAUUUUGGAGAAGGAGACAUAAUGUCUCACCAUGUAUUCCACGAUCCCAUUCUCCAUUCCAUGUGCACCGGAGUUAACUGCUGAUUGUUCAAGGUGAGAGAACUGAGGAGUUCCAUGUAGUGCUGCCAUUAUAUGACUACAGGAGAGCCUACAGCUUCAAGGCAUGGGUGCCGCUGGGCAAAGUUCUGCAGCUUCAAUACUCCAGAUAGGCAAACCCCUAUGUAGAAUACAUGUCUGCAUCACAUCCCAAAGAACAAACGUUGC